CCUACGGGGGGCAGCAGUCGAGAAUCAUGCACAAUGGGGGAAACCCUGAUGGUGCGACGCCGCGUGGGGGAAUGAAGGUCUUCGGAUUGUAAACCCCUGUCAUGUGGGAGCAAAUUAAAAAGAUAGUACCACAAGAGGAAGAGACGGCUAACUCUGUGCCAGCAGCCGCGGUAAUACAGAGGUCUCAAGCGUUGUUCGGAAUCACUGGGCGUAACGCGUGCGUAGGCUGUUUCGUAAGUCGUGUGUGAAAGGCGCGGGCUCAACCCGCGGACGGCACAUGAUACUGCGAGACUAGAGUAAUGGAGGGGGAACCGGAAUUCUCGGUGUAGCAGUGAAAUGCGUAGAUAUCGAGAGGAACACUCGUGGCGAAGGCGGGUUCCUGGACAUUAACUGACGCUGAGGCACGAAGGCCAGGGGAGCGAAAGGGAUUAGAUACCCUAGUAGUC
rnacentral:rRNA from 1 species